UGCCUAUACCGGACCACCGGAGAUUACAAAAGGCAGAGCUAUCAUCUUGCGUUUUUAACGAAAGAUGCUUAUGCCCCGGUGAGUAGGGGGGUCGCGAUGGUGUGCCUAGAAGGGUCUGGGCGCGAGCCUGCCCGGAGCCACCAUCGGUGCAGAUCUUGGUGGUAGUAGCAAAUACUCCAGAGGGAUCCUGGAGGACUGACGCGGAGAAGGGUUUCAUGUGAACAGUGGUUGGACAUGAGUCAGUCGAUCCUAAGCCGCAGGAGAAAUCCGUCCCAGCGUUGAACGGCGUGUCUCUCUCAAAUCGAGGCGCCGCUGGGUUUAAGGCGAAAGGGAAUCCGGUUCUGAUUCCGGAACCGAGCGUCGGACACGUUCCAAGAUCCUGUGCAAGCAGGAUUUUGUCGCGGUAACGCGAACGAACCCGGAGAUGCUGUCGGGAACCCCGGGAAGAGUUUUCUUUUCUGCUUGAGGAGCCGAAACCCUGGAAGUCUGUCGUGGGGCGAUAGGGUUGUGGUUCUCCGAAGAGCGCCGCGUUUCCGCGGCGUCCGUGGGUUCUCGACCGGCCCUUGAAAAUCCGGGGGAGGGACAUAAAGUAACAAACAAAAAACGUUAUUACGAAUAUAAAGUUCGCGCUUGGUCGUACCGAUAACCGCAUCAGGUCUCCUAGGUGAACAGCCUCUAGUCGAUAGAUGAAUGUAGGUAA
rnacentral:rRNA from 1 species